rnacentral:ncRNA from 2 species
UAAAGAGAUAGAGGCAGCGGUGCGUCAGAGUAGGACAGGGAGGAGACAUCCGAUGAAAUGUCUAAAAGGUAAUCAUCGCCGAAAGAGCUUGGUGGUAAUCAGGUCUCUUGGGGAUCAAGGAAAUACUUUGGUCACUCCUUCGCAAGAAGAGGCGUUAUCUGCAGG